GCUGGGCACAGUGGUGUGUGCCUGUAAUCCUAGCCUCUCCGAAGGCUGAGACAGGAGGAUUUUGAGUUCAAAGCCAACAUCAGUAACUCAUUGAGACCCUGUCUCUA
rnacentral:sRNA from 1 species